rnacentral:lncRNA from 1 species
CUUUUCUACCUUUCAGGCCUGGGCUGCAGAAAUGUCUGGAACUUUAAUGACCUUCUCUGUCCAUUAAGGGAUCUGAUAGACAUGACGUUUUAUAAGGCAACCAAGCAGAAGCCAAGUGAGGUACUGCACAAGGAGCCAGUGAGUAUCCUGUUCUUGUAUCCACGGCGUCUUGUGCUGCACCCAGAGCCCACAGCCUUACUAUUCCAUCCUCUUGGUAAGCAUGGGGGCACAGCAGUGCUUUCUGAGGCCAUGCAGCCUGUUUCCAAAGCGCUUUUUAUCCCUGGAUGUGUAGGAGACUCCAAAUACCUGUGGAAAGUGAUUAACGGUCUUUCCCGCCUUCCCCUGGCAUUUCCUAAUGCAAAAAAUCUUGGCUAGCAACCAAUUUAAUUUAGAC